GACAGAGGCCCCAAGCGUUAGGCGGAAUCACUGGGCUUAAAGCGUGUGUAGGCGGACGCCUAAGUGUCUUGUGAAAUCCCACGGCUCACCCGUGGAACUGCUGGGCAUACUGGGCGUCUUGGGCCAACUAGGGGCAGCCGGAACAAGCGGUGGAGCGGUGAAAUGCGUAGAUAUCGCUUGGAACGCCGAAGGUGAAAACAGGCUGCUGGGGUUGUGCCGACGCUGAGACACGAAAGCCAGGGGAGGCAAACGGG
rnacentral:rRNA from 1 species